GGAGGAGCAUCAGCCCACCGGUGGCGCGCGCGCGCACUCCUUUUAUUUUUUUAGUAGAUUAACUACUUGAUCAGCAAUCGUAUCAGUUAGUUCCAGCAAUAAGCUCUCGGUCCGAUCCAAUGGCGCGCUCGGUGUCGGCUCACCGCGCGCUCGUCGCCUUCUUCCUGCCGUGGCUGCUGCACUGUGCGCGGCUGGAGGCUGCUGCCGAGGGGACGCCGCCGUGGUUCUGGCCGUGGCCGCCGGUGGGCGGGGGCGACGACCCCUACUGCCUCAGCUGGCGCGUGAUGGUGGAGGCCAACAACGCCAAGGGGUGGCGCACGGUGCCGGCGCCCUGCGUCGGCUACGUCCGGGGCUACAUGGCCUGGGGCCAGUACUACCGGGACGUGGGCAGCGUCGCGGACCAGGCCGCCGCCUACGCCGCCCAGAUCAGCGCGCCCGCCGCCGACGGCCUCGACGCCUGGGUGUUGGACGUCGACGACACCUGCCUGUCCAACCAGCCAUACUACCAGGCCAAGCAGUUCGGGGCGUAUGAUCCGGUGGCGUUCAAGAUGUGGGCGAGCAGAGGGGUCUGCCCGGGGAUACCUGCCAUGCAGUGGCUGUUCCAGACGCUGAAAGGCAGAGGGUUCAGAGUCUUCCUUGUGACGGGGAGGGAUGAGGAGACCCUGGGCUCCAGCACCGCCGCCAAUCUGGCCGCGGCAGGAUUCUCGGGCUACGACCGGCUCAUCAUGAGGAAAAAAGAAAGAUACGAGUAGUUGGGCCGCUUCAAAAGUAAUACAUAGUUGGGCCGGCCCACCAAAAGCCCGAACUAUUUUUCAGGCUAUAACGACCAUGUCCAGCCCAAUACACACCUGCACGGCACAUCCGGGGCACGGGGUACCGCGGGCAGACCUCGGUGGCGUUCAAGUCGGCGGUGCGGCGGCAGCUUGCGGCGGAGGGUUACCGGCUCCGCGGCAACGUGGGCGACCAGUGGAGCGACCUGCAGGGGGGCUGCGUCGGCGAC